UCAAAGGCGGGGUAACCUGCCGUCUAAGGAUGAGUCCGCGUCCCAUUAGCUUGUUGGUGAGGUAACGGCCCACCAAGGCUGCGAUGGGUAGCCGGCCUGAGAGGGCGAUCGGCCACACUGGGACUGAGAUACGGCCCAGACUCCUACGGGAGGCAGCAGUAGGGAAUAUUGUGCAAUGGACGAAAGUCUGACACAGCAACGCCGCGUGGGUGAUGAAGCUUCUUGGAGUGUAAAACCCUGUCAGUGGGGAAGAACCGUAUGGGGAGUAACUGCCCUGUACCUGACGGUACCCGCAGAGGAAGUCCCGGCUAACUCCGUGCCAGCAGCCGCGGUAAUACGGGGGGGACAAGCGUUGUUCGGAUUUACUGGGCGUAAAGGGCGCGUAGGCGGACCAUCAAGUCGGAUGUGAAACCCGGCGGCUUAACUGCCGGCCUGCAUACGAUACUGUUGGUCUUGAGUACAUGAGAGGAAAGCGGAAUUCCAGGUGUAGCGGUGAAAUGCGUAGAUAUCUGGAAGAACACCAGUAGCGAAGGCGCUUUCUGGCGUGAUACUGACGCUCAAGCGCGAAGGCUAGGGGAGCAAACAGGAUUAGAUACCCUGGUAGUCCUAGCGGUAAACGAUGGGUACUAGGUGUCGGAGGUAUUGACCCCUUCGGUGCCGCAGCAAACGCAUUAAGUACCCCGCCUGGGGAGUACGGUCGCAAGAUUGAAACUCAAAGGAAUUGACGGGGGCCCGCACAAGCGGUGGAGUAUGUGGUCUAAUUCGAGACAACGCGAAGAACCUUACCUGGGUUUGACAUGCUUGAGACCGCCGGUGAAAGUCGGCUUUCCCUUCGGGGACUCUUGCACAGGUGCUGCAUGGCUGUCGUCAGCUCGUGCCGUGAGGUGUUGGGUUAAGUCCCGCAACGAGCGCAACCCUUGUCCAUAGUUGCCAUCAGGUAACGCUGGGGACUCUAUGGAGACUGCCGGUGAUAAGCUGGAGGAAGGUGGGGAUGACGUCAAGUCCUCAUGGCCCUUACACCCAGGGCUACACACGUACUACAAUGGUCGGUACAGAAGGUCGCAAUACCGCGAGGUGGAGCUAAUCCUGAAAACCGGCCUCAGUUCAGAUUGGAGUCUGCAACUCGACUCCAUGAAGGAGGAAUCGCUAGUAAUCGCAGAUCAGCAGGCUGCGGUGAAUACGUUCCCGGGCCUUGUACACACCGCC
rnacentral:rRNA from 1 species